rnacentral:lncRNA from 1 species
CUGGUGUUUCCUUUGUUUACUCUUUGCUCCCUUGGUUUGGUAGAGAAAUAUAUCUGGCCUGAAACUCAUUGAUAUUUGAGCUGUGUUACACACCCUGACAAAAGAGAAGGUUUUGCUUUCAUGUCCUUGUGCAUUUGCCUUUUCAUAUCCUUGUCUCCAAGGACAACAUCUGAGACCUUCUGAGUGCCUGAAGUUAUGUGCUAGUAGAUGCUGGAUUUACCCAGGACCUUAGAGAGAGUUCUCCUGUGUCGCCAUUUGUACCACCAAACCCAAGAAGAGCUGUUCUUUUAGGUAAUCAAGACUGCAGAGAUUUCACAGCCAGAGGUUCAAAAGAUGAGGCAUGCUUUGGAUGUGCAGUGAUUGUAGACAGCCCCCCUUGUGGAACCAUUUGCAUCCACAUAUGGAGCUAAGUCUUUGUCAAGGUGCAAUGGAUGCCUACAAUAAAUGGAAAGCAGUUCUACAGAAGGGGCAGUAAUGGCUGCUUGAUCCAGCAGUGGCUUCUGUCUGGCCCAGGAACACAGCAGGUCGAAGAAUUUAUCAUCUCUGUGAUUUAUAAUCCAGCUUCUGGAUGAAGUGGGGCUCCUAUGGUCAGUGCACAUGGGACUAGCACGCAGAAGGAUUUCCUGGAGUCUUCAACCAAGAUCAGUUUGGAAUUUAGAAAAUGUUUCAGUGGUCUGCAGAGGACUUCAGGAAGGUGGACAUCUGAGGCAAUACCUCUUGGUCAGAGCUACCAGUGUUCCUUAUUCAAGCCAAGUACCUGCUUAAUCCCUGCCACGUAAGUAAGAAAUCUGAAAAAUGAGUUGAGAUAACUGUGUCUAAAUCACCAGUUACAUUUAGAAUUUUCCACUACUUGCAGUAUUGAAAUU